GGGGGUGCCUAUACUGCAGUCGAGCGAGCUUGCCUAGAUGAUUUUAGUGCUUGCACUAAAUGAAACUAGAUACAAGCGAGCGGCGGACGGGUGAGUAACACGUGGGUAACCUGCCCAAGAGACUGGGAUAACACCUGGAAACAGAUGCUAAUACCGGAUAACAACACUAGACGCAUGUCUAGAGUUUGAAAGAUGGUUCUGCUAUCACUCUUGGAUGGACCUGCGGUGCAUUAGCUAGUUGGUAAGGUAACGGCUUACCAAGGCAAUGAUGCAUAGCCGAGUUGAGAGACUGAUCGGCCACAUUGGGACUGAGACACGGCCCAAACUCCUACGGGAGGCAGCAGUAGGGAAUCUUCCACAAUGGACGAAAGUCUGAUGGAGCAACGCCGCGUGAGUGAAGAAGGGUUUCGGCUCGUAAAGCUCUGUUGGUAGUGAAGAAAGAUAGAGGUAGUAACUGGCCUUUAUUUGACGGUAAUUACUUAGAAAGUCACGGCUAACUACGUGCCAGCAGCCGCGGUAAUACGUAGGUGGCAAGCGUUGUCCGGAUUUAUUGGGCGUAAAGCGAGUGCAGGCGGUUCAAUAAGUCUGAUGUGAAAGCCUUCGGCUCAACCGGAGAAUUGCAUCAGAAACUGUUGAACUUGAGUGCAGAAGAGGAGAGUGGAACUCCAUGUGUAGCGGUGGAAUGCGUAGAUAUAUGGAAGAACACCAGUGGCGAAGGCGGCUCUCUGGUCUGCAACUGACGCUGAGGCU
rnacentral:rRNA from 1 species